rfam:Punica granatum cultivar Dabenzi scaffold70, whole genome shotgun sequence.
UGUGGCAGAUGAUGAACAUUUAUAUAUGUUACUCUAUACUCAGAUUAAGCAGUGUUGACUACAAACUCCGCCUAUUAUCUGAUGCCAUG